GACAGAGGGUGCAAACGUUGUUCGGAAUCACUGGGCGUAAAGCGUGUGUAGGCGGCCAUAUAAGUCGGAUGUGAAAGCCCUGGGCUCAACCCAGGAAGUGCACCCGAAACUGUGUGGCUUGAGUACUGGAGAGGUUGGUGGAAUUCUCGGUGUAGAGGUGAAAUUCGUAGAUAUUAGGAAGAACACCAGAGGCGAAGGCGACUUUCUGGGCCAAUACUGACGCUGAGGCGCGAAAGCGUGGGGAGCAAACAGG
rnacentral:rRNA from 1 species